GAUGAACGCUGGCGGCGUGCCUAAUACAUGCAAGUCGAGCGAACGGACGAGAAGCUUGCUUCUCUGAUGUUAGCGGCGGACGGGUGAGUAACACGUGGAUAACCUACCUAUAAGACUGGGAUAACUUCGGGAAACCGGAGCUAAUACCGGAUAAUAUUUUGAACCGCAUGGUUCAAAAGUGAAAGACGGUCUUGCUGUCACUUAUAGAUGGAUCCGCGCUGCAUUAGCUAGUUGGUAAGGUAACGGCUUACCAAGGCAACGAUGCAUAGCCGACCUGAGAGUGUGAUCGGCCACACUUGAACUGAGACACGGUCCAGACUCCUACGGGAGGCAGCAGUAGGGAAUCUUCCGCAAUGGGCGAAAGCCUGACGGAGCAACGCCGCGUGAGUGAUGAAGGUCUUCGGAUCGUAAAACUCUGUUAUUAGGGAAGAACAUAUGUGUAAGUAACUGUGCACAUCUUGACGGUACCUAAUCAGAAAGCCACGGCUAACUACGUG
rnacentral:rRNA from 1 species